CUCUCGGUAGCCAAGUUGGUUUAAGGCGCAAGACUGUAAUGUUUCAAACAAAGUUAUCUUGAGAUCGGGCGUUCGACUCGCCCCCGGGAGA
rfam:Vanderwaltozyma polyspora DSM 70294 KpolScaffold1069 genomic scaffold, whole genome shotgun sequence.